rnacentral:rRNA from 1 species
GAUGAACGCUGGCGGCGUGCCUAAUACAUGCAAGUCGAGCGAACAGAUGAGGAGCUUGCUCCUCUGACGUUAGCGGCGGCCGGGUGAGUAACACGUGGAUAACCUACCUAUAAGACUGGGAUAACUUCGGGAAACCGGAGCUAAUACCGGAUAAUAUAUUGAACCGCAUGGUUCAAUAGUGAAAGACGGUUUUGCUGUCACUUAUAGAUGGCUCCGCGCCGCAUUAGCUAGUUGGUAAGGUAACGGCUUACCAAGGCAACGAUGCGUAGCCGACCUGAGAGGGUGAUCGGCCACACUGGAAAGGAGACACGGUCCAGACUCCUACGGGAGGCAGCAGUAGGGAAUCUUCCGCAAUGGGCGAAAGCCUGACGGAGCAACGCCGCGUGAGUGAUGAAGGUCUUCGGAUCGUAAAACUCUGUUAUUAGGGAAGAACAAAUGUGUAAGUAACUAUGCACGUCUUGACGGUACCUAAUCAGAAAGCCACGGCUAACUACGUG